UAGUCCACGCCGUAAACGAUCAUCACUCGCUGUUGGCGAUAUACUAUCAGCGGCCAAGCGAAAGUAUUAAGUGAUGCACCUGGGGAGUACGCCGGCAACGGUGAAACUCAAAGGAAUUGACGGGGGCCCGCACAAGCGGUGGAGCAUGUGGUUUAAUUCGAUGAUACGCGAGGAACCUUACCAGGGCUUAAAUGUAGUAUGACCGGUCUGGAAACAGACCUUCUCUUCGGAGCAGAUUACAAGGUGCUGCAUGGUUGUCGACAGCUCGUGCCGUGAGGUGUUAGGUUAAGUCCUGCAACGAGCGCAACCCCUAUUCUUAGUUGCCAGCGGUUCGGCCGGGGGACUCUAAGAAGACUGCCAGCGCAAGCUGAGAGGAAGGUGGGGAUGACGUCAAAUCAUCACGGCCCUUACGUCCUGGGCUACACACGUGCUACAAUGGUCGGGACAAUGAGUUGCGAUCUCGCGAGAGUCAGCUAACCUCAAAAACCCGGCCUCAGUUCGG
rnacentral:rRNA from 1 species